CAAGAGACGGGCACAACAGUCACCUGGUUUCUUUUUCUUCCUUUAUUUUUUGAGACUGAGUCUCGCUUUAUCACCUAGGCUAGAGUGCAGUGACACGAUCUUGGCUCACUGCAACCUCCACUUCCCAGGUUCAAAUGAUUCUCCUGCCUCAGCCUUCCGAGUAUCUGGGAUUACAGGCGUGCACUGCCAUACCCGACUAAUUUUUGGAUUUUAGUAGAGAUGGGGUUUUGCCAUGUUGGCCAGGCUGGUCUUGAACUCCUGACCUCAAGUGAUCUGCCCACCUUGGCCUCCCAACGUGUUGGGAUUACAGGUGUGAGCCACCGUGCCCAGCCACAUGGUGUCUUCCAUGACAGCUCCCUCUCUGCUGAAAUAGCAUUUCCCACCCCCACCCAUGGCAUCACUCUUCUGCUGCCAUUUUCAUCAAAGACUGAUGUCACUUGGCAUGUUUUUAGGUUUUUUUCUGGUGGCUUUUAUUUUUUUAAUUUUAGAGAUGAGGUCUCACUAUGUUGCCCAGCCUAGUCUCAAAUUCCUAAGCUCAAGGGAUCCACCUGCCUCUAUCUCCCAAAGUGCUGGGGUUACAGGCAUGCACCACCACGCCUGGACCACAUUGCAUGCAUUUUAUUUAAAUUUUUUUUUUUUUUUUUUUAAGACGGAGUCUCAUUCUGUCACCCAGGCUGAAGUGUAGUGGUGCGAUCUUGGCUCACUGCAAUCCCGGGUUCAAGCAAUUCUCCUGCCUCAGCCUCCCGAGUAGCUGGGAUUACAGGCGUGAGCCACUGUGCCCGGCCUUUAUUUAAGAUUUGCCUCCUUAACCAUUACACCUGUAAUCCCAGCCCUUUGGGAGGCUGAGGUGGGCAGAUCACCUGAGUUCAGGUGUUCAAGACCAGCCAGGCCAAGAUGGUGAAACCACAUCUCUACUAAAAAUUCCAAAAUUAGCCAGGCGUGGUGGCAGGCACCUGUAGUCCCAGCUAAUCAGAAGGCUGAGGCAGGGGAAUUGCUUGAACCUGGGAGGUGGAGGUUGCAGUGAGCCAAGAUUGCACCACUGCACUCCAGCCUGGGCAGCAGAGUGAGACUGUCUCACAAAAAAAAAAAAAAAGAAGUGUCAGGUGCUGGCAGAGACACUGCUUUUCCCUAAUUGACCCGUUUGGUCCUCACAUUAACCAUAUUUUACAGCUACUCUCAUUUACAGAUAAGGAAACUGGGCCAAUGAGGAGGUGAGAAAUCGCUCAAGGCUGCCAGGUACAGUGGCUCAUCCCUGUAAUCCCAGCACUUUGGGAGGCCAAGGGAGGAGGAUUAAUUGAGGCCAGGAGUUUGAGACCAGCCUAGGCAACAUAAUGAGACUCUGUCUCUACAAAAAAUUUAAAAAUUAGUGGGGUGUGGUGAUGCAUGUGUAGUCCCAGCUACUCCGGAGGCUGAGGUGGGAGGAUCGCUUGAUCCCAGGUGUCUGAGACAGUAGUGAGCUACGACUGCACCACUGCACUACAACCUCGGUGAUGCAAUGAGAUGCUGUCUCAAAAAAAAAACACACACACACACAAAACAACAAAAAAACAAAUUGUUCAAGGCGAGCCUGGUGUGCCAAGCCCUUGUUCUGGGCACUUGGCUUAUAUUAUCUCCCUUAAUCCUUCCCACCACCCCAAGUGCUAGAUACUGGGAUUAAUUUAGUUGAGCUGUAAUACAUCAAUACUGUGUGAAAUGCUAUGCAACAUCUAAAAGGAAGACAGGUGGAGCUUUUAUUUAUUUUUUAUUUUAUUUAUUUUUUGAGACACAGUCUCGCUGCAUUACCCAACCUGGAGUGCAGUGGCACAAUCACAGCUCACUGUAGCCUCAACCUCCUGGGUUCAAACAAUCCUCCCACCUCAGCCUCUCAAGUAGCUGGGACUACAGGCUUACACCACCAAGCUUGGCUAAUUUUUUUUUUUUUUUAAGAGAUGGUGUUUUGCUAAGUUGCCCACACUGAUCUCAAAAUCCUUUUGUUUUUGCUUUGGAAUGGUCUGGAACUCCUGAGCUCAAGUGAUCCUCCCACCUUGGCCUCCCAAAGGCCUGGGAUUACACGUAUGAGCCACCGCACCAAGCCCAGGUUGAGCUUUUAAGGUAUUAAAGAUCCACUAGGUGAAAAAAAAGAGUGAAAGAUACAUAUGCCAUUUAAGGGAAGCACAGGAAAACUCCUAUUUUGUUUAUAUGUGAAUAGAGGCGCAUAGAUGCCUAGAAAAGUGUCUGGGAGGGAAUGAAACCAGAUUGGCCACAAAAAUCACCUCUGGAAAAAGGAAAAGAAUGGGGACUUUCACUUUUUGCUUCAUAUGUUUCAUGCACCUUUUUUUUUUUUUUUUUUUGAGAUGGAGUUUCACUCUUAUUGCCCAGGCUGGGGUGCAGUGCGAGACCCCGUCUCAAACAAACAAAACAAAACAAAAUGAGGACAAUGGGGCUUCCAAUGGCAACUCGAGACGUUAGUUUACUCCAGAGUCAUGGAGACAGAGAAUGGAGU